rnacentral:rRNA from 1 species
UGAGUAAUGUCUGGGAAACUGCCUGAUGGAGGGGGAUAACUACUGGAAACGGUAGCUAAUACCGCAUAACGUCGCAAGACCAAAGAGGGGGACCUUCGGGCCUCUUGCCAUCGGAUGUGCCCAGAUGGGAUUAGCUAGUAGGUGGGGUAACGGCUCACCUAGGCGACGAUCCCUAGCUGGUCUGAGAGGAUGACCAGCCACACUGGAACUGAGACACGGUCCAGACUCCUACGGGAGGCAGCAGUGGGGAAUAUUGCACAAUGGGCGCAAGCCUGAUGCAGCCAUGCCGCGUGUAUGAAGAAGGCCUUCGGGUUGUAAAGUACUUUCAGCGGGGAGGAAGGGAGUAAAGUUAAUACCUUUACUCAUUGACGUUACCCGCAGAAGAAGCACCGGCUAACUCCGUGCCAGCAGCCGCGGUAAUACGGAGGGUGCAAGCGUUAAUCGGAAUUACUGGGCGUAAAG